rnacentral:rRNA from 1 species
GGGUUGUGAGGUUAAGCGACUAAGCGUACACGGUGGAUGCCCUGGCAGUCAGAGGCGAUGAAGGACGUGCUAAUCUGCGAUAAGCGUCGGUAAGGUGAUAUGAACCGUUAUAAACCGGCGAUUUCC